ACGGGGGGAGGAAAGUAGGGGAUCGCAAGACCUCGCGCUAUUGGAGUGGCCGAUGUCCGAUUAGCUAGUUGGUGGGGUAAUGGCCUACCAAGGCGACGAUCGGUAGCUGGUCUGAGAGGAUGAUCAGCCACACUGGGACUGAGACACGGCCCAGACUCCUACGGGAGGCAGCAGUGGGGAAUUUUGGACAAUGGGCGCAAGCCUGAUCCAGCCAUGCCGCGUGAGUGAAGAAGGCCUUCGGGUUGUAAAGCUCUUUCGGCCGGAACGAAAUCGUCCGGGCUAAUACCCCGGAUGGAUGACGGUACCGGAAGAAGAAGCACCGGCUAACUACGUGCCAGCAGCCGCGGUAAUACGUAGGGUGCAGGCGUUAAUCGGAAUUACUGGGCGUAAAGCGUGCGCAGGCGGCUUCCUAAGUCAGAUGUGAAAUCCCCGGGCUCAACCUGGGAACUGCGUUUGAAACUACAAAGCUAG
rnacentral:rRNA from 1 species